CGGCAGACGGGUGAGUAACGCGUGGGAACAUACCUUUUGGUUCGGAACAACACAGGGAAACUUGUGCUAAUACCGGAUAAGCCCUUACGGGGAAAGAUUUAUCGCCGAAAGAUUGGCCCGCGUCUGAUUAGCUAGUUGGUGAGGUAAUGGCUCACCAAGGCGACGAUCAGUAGCUGGUCUGAGAGGAUGAUCAGCCACAUUGGGACUGAGACACGGCCCAA
rnacentral:rRNA from 1 species